rnacentral:rRNA from 1 species
ACUCAAAUGAAUAGACGGGGCCCCGCACAAGCAGCGGAGCGUGUGGUUUAAUUCGUUGCUACACGAAGAACCUUACCUGGGUUUGACAUAAUGGUGGUAGGGAUCCGAAAGGUGACCGACCCUUCGGGGAGCCGUUACAGGUGUUGCAUGGCUGUCGUCAGCUCGUGUCGUGAGAUGUUCGGUUAAGUCCGCUAACGAGCGCAACCCUCGCUGUGUGUUACAAGUGUCACACAGGACUGCCGGUACUAAGCCGGAGGAAGGUGGGGAUGACGUCAAGUCAGCAUGACCUUUAUAUCCAGGGCUACACACACGCUACAAUGGCCAGUACAAUGGGCUGCGAAGCCGCGAGGCGGAGCCAAUCCUCCAAAACUGGCCUCAGUUCAGAUUGCAGUCUGCAACCCGACUGCAUGAAGUUGGAGUUGCUAGUAAACGCAGGUCAGCUAUACUGCGUUGAAUACGUUCCCGGGGCUUGUACACACCGCCCGU